GACGAACGCUGGCGGCGUGCUUAACACAUGCAAGUCGAACGGAAAGGCCUGCUUUCCCUUGUGGAUUGCGGGUACUCGAGUGGCGAACGGGUGAGUAACACGUGAGUGAUCUGCCCCCAACUUGGGUAUAAGCCUGGGAAACUGGGUCUAAUUCCCGAUAGGACUGCAGGGUGGUGCCUGUGGUGGAAAACGAUUUUCUAGUGGUUGGGGAUGAGCUCGCGGCCUAUCAGCUUGUUGGUGGAGUAAUGGCCUACCAAGGCGGCGACGGGUAGCCGGCCUGAGAGGGUGGACGGCCACAUUGGGACUGAGAUACGGCCCAGACUCCCACGGGAGGCAGCAGUGGGGAAUAUUGCACAAUGGGCGGAAGCCUGAUGCAGCGACGCCGCGUGGGGGAUGACGGCCUUCGGGUUGUAAACUCCUUUCGACCGCGAGGAAGCCACCUGGUUGGAAGGGUGGUGACGGUAGUGGUAGAAGAAGCACCGGCUAACUACGUG
rnacentral:rRNA from 1 species